UACGUAGGUGGCAAGCGUUGUCCGGAUUUACUGGGCGUAAAGGGUGUGUAGGCGGUCUCGUAAGUCUGGUGUGAAAUCUCCCGGCUCAACUGGGAGGGUGCGCCGGAAACUGCGAGGCUAGAGUGUGGGAUGGGAGAGUGGAAUUCCUGGUGUAGCGGUGAAAUGCGUAGAUAUCAGGAGGAACACCUGCGGUGUAGACGGCUCUCUGGACCACUACUGACGCUGAAACACGAAAGCGUGGGUAGCAAACAGG
rnacentral:rRNA from 1 species